rnacentral:misc_RNA from 1 species
CGGUCAAGGCGUGUUGACGUUUGUGUCUGUGUGUGUGUGUGAGGUGUUGAUGCUGAGUGAGUCUUGAUAGUCCUGUAACUCUGAUAAGUAUGGGGGACGAGACUUGGGCUAAUAUUCAGCUCGUGAAGAGUAAGAGGGAGAGUUUUAGAGAGAAAAUUAAAAAACGAAAAGCGGAGAGAGAGACCAUCCUGAGUUCAGUUGCGGGAGGCGGCAGCAGUAGCCCAAGUUCAUUUAUUCCUCCUGUGGACCCCAGUACCCCAGCUCCUGUUGUUCCUGCAGCAACACCAAAUGGAAAUGAUGACUCCAGUUUAGAAUGUGCCUUGUUAGAGUGUUUAAAUGGGGCCUUGCCGCCUGUACAGUCGGCACAGCUUUCCCAGACUUUGUCAACAAAACUAAGAAGAAAUUUACAACCAAAAGUCAUUGAUAAUCUCUUGCAAAAAUUUGCUUACAAAGAACUUAUAAGCAUUACACAGGAGGUUGGGGAUGGCCGCACAACCAUAACGGUGACUGCUGUUCAACACAACCGAGUGACCGCGGUCCUGGGAGCUGAACAUAGGGAAAAGAAGCUUCAGCCUAUUGCUACAACACAACAAGGUGAAAGUCCAGUGGUGGAGAAAAUUACUGUCUCAUCUGAUGAACCGCCCGCGAAGGUUUUACGGGAAGACAAGGAGAAUAAGAAUGACAAGGAUAAAAGAAAGGAAACUAGAGAGGAUGAUGUCAUGAGCCUGUUGUCAGCGCAGAGCAUACGUGAGCGCGAGACAAAGAAAGUGGGCGAAGAGAUAAUGGAACUACUGAGUAAACCCACAGCCAAAGAACAGAGUAUUGCUCUGCGUUUUAAAUCUCAGGGAGGAGCAAAAGUUCAAGAGUUUUGUCCACACGGCACCAAAGAGGAGUGUGAGAGAGCGACAAAGAAGGCCGGCCCACAGUGCGGUCGACUCCACUUCCGCAAGAUCAUCCAGAAGCACACUGACGAAUCCUUAGGAGACUGUUCCUUCCUCAACACCUGUUUCCACAUGGACACUUGUCGAUAUGUUCAUUAUGAGGUGGACUAUACAGGGGUGUCCGAGCAGCAGCAGCAGCAACAGGAGCAGCCCACCUCCAUCAUCCUGCCUUUGGAGCGUCCACGCCCAGAUGAGAGGACCAUUCUAUUCCCUCCUCAGUGGAUACAGUGUGAUCUUAGGUUUCUAGAUAUGUCUAUACUAGGGAAAUUUGCUGUUAUUAUGGCAGAUCCUCCGUGGGAUAUCCACAUGGAGCUGCCUUAUGGCACAAUGUCCGAUGACGAAAUGAGACAACUAAACAUUCCCAUAAUGCAAGACGAGGGGCUCAUAUUUUUGUGGGUCACAGGCAGAGCGAUGGAGCUUGGUCGUGAGUGUCUUCAGCUCUGGGGCUAUGAGCGAGUAGAUGAAAUAAUUUGGGUGAAAACAAAUCAAUUGCAACGAAUUAUCCGUACAGGCAGGACGGGUCACUGGCUGAACCACGGCAAAGAACAUUGUUUAGUUGGCAUGAAAGGGAACCCGAAGAUAAACCGUGGUCUUGAUGGAGAUGUCAUCGUAGCUGAAGUUCGAGCCACUAGCCACAAGCCAGAUGAAAUUUACGGCAUAAUCGAGCGACUUUCGCCAGGCACACGAAAACUGGAGCUGUUUGGACGACCCCAUAAUGUACAACCAAACUGUUUACUUAACUAAGGAGUCCACACUGGCGAGAGUCAGCCAGGGGAACGAGGAGAGUUUCCUGCGGAAGCGACGUGUCCCCUCCUCCCGGUCACAGUACACAGCCAAGUGGACAGGGCCGCUCUACAGGAACUUCCCCAGUUGUUAUAUAACCACACUACACUACAUAAGGAAGUACAAUACUGGGCUGGGAGGAUGUGCGCGGAGACAUCAACUGGCCCCCCGACG